AUAGCAAAGUCAAAGGACUUCUCCAAAGUCACACAAGAAGAAAAUGUUGAAACAAAAAUUUGAACUGAAGUGUGUCUGACUGCAAAGCCUGAACUCUCCUGGGUCCCUUAAAAAAAGAGAAUUUAGGGGUCGGCCCGUGGCCGAGUCGUUAAGUUCACGUGCUCCGCUUCAGCAGCCCAGGGUUUCACUGGUUCGGAUCCUGGGCACAGACACAGCACCGCUCAUCACGCCAUGCUGAGGCAGCGUCCCACACGCCACAACCAGAAGGACCCACAACUAGAAUAUACAACUAUGUACUGGGGGGCUCUGGGGAGAAGAAGAAAAAACAAAGAUUGGCAACAGACGUUAGCUCAGGUGCCAAUCUUUAAAGAAAAAUGAAUUUAAAUGUGUGUGUGUGUGUUUACACAUGGGGAGGGGUUUAUAGAUUGCAUUCCCUCUUGGUUGCUUCCUCAUAACCUUGUGGCAAACACUCCCCAAAGAAGCAGUAAGUGAGACGCUGCUGCCUCUGACCAGGAGCACUAAUGGUCAGACCAGGACUUCACAUGCAUGACUGGAUCAGCGCCGUAAUCAGAAUCACCGGAACGUGGCAUCUCAGAACGCAGCAGACCUUAGAGGCCUAGAACGGAGCUGGGAGAGCUGGAACCUUGCUGCUGGGUCACUAUUUGAUCUGACGCAAUCCUCUUACAACUGAAUGCAAACACAGGCUUGCCAAAUAGAUGUCCAAAUGACGGGUUACACAGCUAUGAUUCUCUUCUCAAGGAUGUAUAAAAUACCCCAAAGAUGGACUCAUAUAACCGUGGAACCACAGCACACUUAAUUUUUACAAAACACGUAUUGAUGGAACCAAUAAUGCUUAAGUUUUACAAAAUCUUAGCUAUCUGGAGUAUGUAACAAAAUAUAAACAGCUUAUAUGUCUUUUCAUUUCACAAAAGCCUAUGUCUUCAUAUCUUUAUAAAUUGUUCCUUCCCAUUUCUCUAUAUUUCUGUUCUUGCAACUUCUUGUUUAUGUGUAUUAGACAGAAUGCUGGUUGAAAUUCAACAGAUAUAACCAUGGCAGAGAAGAGGAGGAAAAAGAAAGCUGAUCAUUUCUCAAUGUUUCUUAGCUUAUAUACUCACAAAAUUUUCACUGGUGGGAUUGUAUGUAUGUUCAAAAAUAGACACGUGGACUUGUUAAUUAAGUUAAUAGAGACAAGAAUGCUGAUUUAUUUCAGUAGAUGUGCACCAACUCGGCCUUAAAAGAUGGCACAAAGAUUUUUUAAAAUAAUACACUGCAUUGUUCAGCGUGUGGUCAAAUGGUCAUACUCAUAAAUUGCUAAUGGAUUUAUAUAAUGUUGUUGGCAUACCCACAACAACAUACUAUUACUGAAGUGACAUUAAUCAAAGAAGACCUGUUGUAAGAUGUCUCCAAAGAAGGUUAUGGCCAGGUCUCAAAGAAGGUUAUGGACUUGUGGGAGG
rnacentral:lncRNA from 1 species